CCAUUGUAGUAACUGUUGCUAGCACCAUAGUUGUUCUUGUUGUUUUGGUUGUUGUAGUAGUUGUUUCUGUUGUUGCUUGGAUUGGUGUAGCUAUUGCCCAACAAUUUAGUCUCACCCAAACCUUGUUGCUCAUUGUUGUAGUAAGUGCUUUCACCCAAACCUUGUUUCUCGUUGUUGUAGUAGGUAUUUUCACCAUUGUAGAAGUUGUUGCUGUUGUAGUUGUUGUUUUGUGGUCUGUAACCUUCCGGUUCAGUCACAUAGGACUCGGUGUUGUAGUUCUUGGGGUAGGAUUCUCUUGGUUCUUUGUUUUGUGGUCUGUAACCUUCCGGUUCAGUCACAUAGGACUCGGCGUUGUAGUUCUUGGGCAAGUACUUGGGGUAGGAUUCUCUUGGUUGGUUGUUUUGUGGUCUGUAACCUUCCGGUUCAGUCACAUAGGACUCGGUGUUGUAGUUCUUGGGCAAGUACUUGGGGUAGGAAUCUCUUGGUUCAUUGUUGUAUGGAAGGUUAGUGGUGGCUUUGUAGGGUUCACCACUGGGGUUGGUGGUUGUGGUGGUGGACGGAGGGAGUUGGCCUGACUCGUGGCCAUAAAGACCAUAGCCACCAUUUUCGUUUUCAGGGAUGAAGUUU
rnacentral:lncRNA from 1 species